rnacentral:rRNA from 1 species
GUGGGGAAUCUUGCGCAAUGGGCGAAAGCCUGACGCAGCCAUGCCGCGUGAAUGAUGAAGGUCUUAGGAUUGUAAAAUUCUUUCACCGGGGACGAUAAUGACGGUACCCGGAGAAGAAGCCCCGGCUAACUUCGUGCCAGCAGCCGCGGUAAUACGAAGGGGGCUAGCGUUGCUCGGAAUUACUGGGCGUAAAGGGCGCGUAGGCGGACAGUUUAGUCAGAGGUGAAAGCCCAGGGCUCAACCUUGGAAUUGCCUUUGAUACUGGCUGUCUGGAGUACGGGAGAGGUGAGUGGAACUCCGAGUGUAGAGGUGAAAUUCGUAGAUAUUCGGAAGAACACCAGUGGCGAAGGCGACUCACUGGCCCGUUACUGACGCUGAGGCGCGAAAGCGUGGGGAGCAAACAGGAUUAGAUACCCGUGUAGUCC